AGCCACUCAAUUUUAUUUUACUUCUGUAACUUUUUUUUCUUUAUGUUACAGAAGAAUAUAUAUAUUAAAGACUGUCGCCUUUGUUUCUUUAAUUAACUCUGCUGCUAUCAACACCAGGUCAAGAUUUUAAACAAAUUGAUUAUGAUUAUCAAUGGGCCAACCACUGGUUCACUAUAUUCCUGAUAAUGAAAAUGAAAUGCCAAUAGCUUGAGGUACAUCAGUGAUUUUUACAUAUAACAAUGGAGUGCCAAGUAGAAAAACUUGAAGGUUUUCAACACCU